AACGAACGCUGGCGGCAUGCCUAACACAUGCAAGUCGAACGAGACCUUCGGGUCUAGUGGCGCACGGGUGCGUAACGCGUGGGAACCUUCCCUUAGGUUUGGAAUAACUCCCCGAAAGGGGUGCUAAUACCGGAUAAUGUCUUCGGACCAAAGAUUUAUCGCCUUUGGAUGGGCCCGCGUUGGAUUAGCUAGUUGGUAGGGUAAAAGCCUACCAAGGCGACGAUCCAUAGCUGGUCUGAGAGGAUGAUCAGCCACACUGGGACUGAGACACGGCCCAGACUCCUACGGGAGGCAGCAGUGGGGAAUAUUGGACAAUGGGCGAAAGCCUGAUCCAGCAAUGCCGCGUGAGUGAUGAAGGCCUUAGGGUUGUAAAGCUCUUUUACCCGGGAUGAUAAUGACAGUACCGGGAGAAUAAGCUCCGGCUAACUCCGUG
rnacentral:rRNA from 1 species